AAGACCUUGCGCUUUUGGAGCGGCCGAUGCCUGAUUAGCUAGUUGGUGGGGUAAUGGCCUACCAAAGCUUCGAUCAGUAGCUGGUCUGAGAGGACGGCCAGCCACACUGGGACUGAGACACGGCCCAGACUCCUACGGGAGGCAGCAGUGGGGAAUUUUGGACAAUGGGCGCAAGCCUGAUCCAGCCAUGCCGCAUGAGUGAAGAAGGCCUUCGGGUUGUAAAGCUCUUUCAGCCGGGAAGAAAAGGUUGCGAUUAAUAAUCGCAAUUUAUGACGGUACCGGAAGAAGAAGCACCGGCUAACUACGUGCCAGCAGCCGCGGUAAUACGUAGGGUGCGAGCGUUAAUCGGAAUUACUGGGCGUAAAGGGUGCGCAGGCGGUUUUGUAAGUCAGAUGUGAAAUCCCCGGGCUUAACCUGGGAACU
rnacentral:rRNA from 1 species